UACGUAGGGGGCUAGCGUUGUCCGGAUUUAUUGGGCGUAAAGAGCGUGUAGGCGGCCAGGUAGGUCUGGUGUGAAAACUCGAGGCUUAACCUCGAGAUGUCAUCGGAAACCAUCUGGCUAGAGCCCGGAAGAGGAGAGUGGAAUUCCCUGUGUAGCGGUGAAAUGCGUAGAUAUUCGGAGGAAGAACCACAGCGGAGGCGGAAGCAUGCCUGGCCGUCUCGGGAACGGCAGCGUGACGGCUGAAAGCACGGCGGGAAAGCCAAGUGGGGG
rnacentral:rRNA from 1 species